UUUUAUUAUGGCUCAGAAUGAACGCUGGCGGCGUGCUUAAUACAUGCAAGUCGAACGCUUUGUGGUUCAACUGAUUUGAAGAGCUUGCUCAGAUAUGACGAUGGACAUUGCAAAGAGUGGCGAACGGGUGAGUAACACGUGGGAAACCUACCUCUUAGCAGGGGAUAACAUUUGGAAACAGAUGCUAAUACCGUAUAACAAUAGCAACCGCAUGGUUGCUACUUAAAAGAUGGUUCUGCUAUCACUAAGAGAUGGUCCCGCGGUGCAUUAGUUAGUUGGUGAGGUAAUGGCUCACCAAGACGAUGAUGCAUAGCCGAGUUGAGAGACUGAUCGGCCACAAUGGGACUGAGACACGGCCCAUACUCCUACGGGAGGCAGCAGUAGGGAAUCUUCCACAAUGGGCGAAAGCCUGAUGGAGCAACGCCGCGUGUGUGAUGAAGGGUUUCGGCUCGUAAAACACUGUUGUAAGAGAAGAAUGACAUUGAGAGUAACUGUUCAAUGUGUGACGGUAUCUUACCAGAAAGGAACGGCUAAAUACGUGCCAGCAGCCGCGGUAAUACGUAUGUUCCAAGCGUUAUCCGGAUUUAUUGGGCGUAAAGCGAGCGCAGACGGUUAUUUAAGUCUGAAGUGAAAGCCCUCAGCUCAACUGAGGAAUUGCUUUGGAAACUGGAUGACUU
rnacentral:rRNA from 1 species